rnacentral:rRNA from 1 species
UACGGAGGGUGCAAGCGUUAUCCGGAUUCACUGGGUUUAAAGGGAGCGUAGGUGGCUUUGUAAGUCAGUGGUGAAAUAUUGCGGCUCAACCGCAAAACUGCCAUUGAUACUGCUUAGCUUGAAUCACGUCGAGGUGGAUGGAAUAAUACAUGUAGCGGUGAAAUGCUUAGAUAUGUAUUAGAACUCCGAUUGCGAAGGCAGUUCACUAGGCGUGUAUUGACACUGAGGCUCGAAAGCGUGGGGAUCAAACAGG